rnacentral:tRNA from 1 species
GAUUAAAUGGCUGAAGUUAGGCGAUAGACUGUAAAUCUAUACAUAAGAAUUUAUUCUUUUUAAUCA